GCCCACGCACACCACGUCCGUCUCUCCCACCCUGUACUUCUUCCCAGCCGCAGCCGCCGAUCUGCUCUCAUGCUGCCACACCGAUCUGCUCUCCCACUCUCCGUUCUCCUUGAUAUGGUGCGAGCUCCUCCGCACACCUGCUCCCCGUGCCGUUGCGGCACCGGCAGUGCAUGCUGCUACUGGGUUCGGGUACGCGACGCGAUCUUCGCUGGUGUGCCACCAACGACGAGCCGGCGCGCCGUAGUUGUCCCCUUCCGCGUGGGCCGACCUGGACGGAAGGCUGCUGAUCUGCCAGGCGGCGUCUUUCACCUCCACUGGCGCGCCGUCCUCGACUGAGAGGCGACGGCUCGACUUCCUCCGAUCUGGUGGUUGAUUUGAAUCCCCGGGUAUGUGGUUAUGCAUGAGCUGUGGAAGCAAAGGUGUGUCGGCCGGAGCUGAUUUACGGGGCUGUCAUUUGGACGGUACAAAACUGUAAUAAUACAGACUCCCACUCAAAAUUUCACUCCACCAAAGGCUCUCGUAAGUGCUUGACUUUGUUUCUUCAUACUACGCGAUAUAAUACAUAUGGGACAUGAAAUUAGUAAUUACCCAUAAAUAUUGUCUGUACUGGAUUGCCCAAAUUAGAUUUAUUUGUUUC